rnacentral:rRNA from 1 species
AGUGAACGCUGGCGGUAGGCCUAACACAUGCAAGUCGAACGGCAGCACAGUAAGAGCUUGCUCUUACGGGUGGCGAGUGGCGGACGGGUGAGGAAUACAUCGGAAUCUACUUUUUCGUGGGGGAUAACGUAGGGAAACUUACGCUAAUACCGCAUACGACCUACGGGUGAAAGCAGGGGAUCUUCGGACCUUGCGCGAUUGAAUGAGCCGAUGUCGGAUUAGCUGGUUGGCGGGGUAAAGGCCCACCAAGGCGACGAUCCGUAGCUGGUCUGAGAGGAUGAUCAGCCACACUAGAACUGAGACACGGUCCAGACUCCUACGGGAGGCAGCAGUGGGGAAUAUUGGACAAAGGGCGCAAGCCUGAUCCAGCCAUACCGCGUGGGUGAAGAAGGCCUUCGGGUUGUAAAGCCCUUUUGUUGGGAAAGAAAAGCAGCAGGUUAAUACCCCGCUGUUCCGACGGUACCCAAAGAAUAAGCACCGGCUAACUUCGUG